rnacentral:lncRNA from 1 species
UUGGAUCUGAAUUUAUAAAUUCUGAAAGACUUCUUUGUAUACAACAUUGAUUGUAGUCGUACCGAUACCACUAUCCUCAUUAGAAAUGAAGAAUUUCAAACUACGACUACAACUCUUGAAAUAGCAAUAUACAACUGGUCAUGUGUAAAAAUAAAUUUUGGCAAAAAUAAAUCAACAUGUAAAAGAAAUUGAUCAUGAUUUUUGUUGAUAGUCAUUGCCUAUUAAAUAAUAAGAGGAAAUUGAUGACGUCGAAACUUAAAAGGCAAUCUUGGAUCCUCCUAUAAAUCCCACAUUAUUUGACUCACUUAAACUAAAUU